UUUAAAAAUGAUGAAAACAGCUUAAAACUAUUUAUAUUGAUAAUAAUAAUUCAUUCUGGUAUCAUCUCAGGGUUCCUGGACUAUUUAUAUUGAUACGUGUUUUCUUCCCGUGAAUGCCAUAUAAACGUUACACAGACAGAAAAGCGAUGUAUAUCUUUAAAUUGAUGUGAUGAUAUAUUCUAUCAUGCCUAUCCUAUCCAUAUUUGAAUAUCAUUAGGGACCAGCCAAUCAAAACCCCCAGGAAUGCCCCACGUACCAGACACACGCCAUCAUCGUCUGCAUCUGAUCAUACACAUACUUCACUCGCCAUUAUUCGUGCCACCACCACGUUUCAUCCAAACACACACAUAACAUACAUCAAAACAAAUGAAGAAUGAGUCCAAGCAAGCACUGAUUUAUUUCAUGAGUCUUUCACUCAAGCACCGACACUUUUGCCACCUAUAGCACUUUUCCUGUUCGUUGCUUGCCAUUACACUUCCCCGUACAAUGACACGUGGACCUAGCCUCAAAGCAAGCCGGGUUGCACGGACUUCCCAUGCACCCACCGGUAACUCGUUCCGUUUCAGCCAAAACCUCACCUCAAUUCCCUUCUUCAUUAAAAAAAAACACUUCGAAUUCCAGCUGGCAUUUAACCGCAACCCAAGACUGAGGAUGCAGUAACGGUCCCCAACUCCAGCUGUAUCCAACACUCACCGGGCGCACGCUCGCUAUCUUACGCCGAAACACAACUCGAUGAACACUCUCACUCACUCAUUUUCUUAGCAGAGAAAUAGAGAUAACAAAACAAUGGAGGAUCUAAGCAGCUUGGGAGGGAUGCUCUUUUGGUUCUCCCACGUCUUUGCGCUAGGAUAAAUCAAAUUAAAUUAGAAUUCAAUGUAG
rnacentral:sRNA from 1 species